rnacentral:rRNA from 1 species
UACGGAGGGAGCGAGCGUUGUUCGGAAUCACUGGGCGUAAAGAGUGCGUAGGCGGUUUAGCAAGUCAGAAGUGAAAGCCCCGGGCUUAACCCGGGAACUGCUUUUGAUACUGCUUUUCUUGAGUUUGGUAGAGGUUGGCGGAAUUCCCAGUGUAGAGGUAAAAUUCGUAGAUAUUGGGAGGAACACCAGUGGCGUAGGCGGCCAACUGGACCAUUACUGACGCUGAGGCACGAAAGCGUGGGGAGCAAACAGG